GCCGCCGCCGCCUUCUUCCUCGUGCUCAUGUGGCGCUUCUCCGGCGGUCAUCGCCGUGCAAGAAGGGCGGUUGCAGGGAUGGAAAGACACCGCGCGGACAAGCCCCAUCCGUUGGCCGCCGACAUCGACGAAGGACACCUGAGGAUCCCGUUUGCAUCCGGCCUUAAUUACCUGUCGCGGGGAGCUGAGGCCGGAGGCGUCGUGGGCGAGCUUGAAGACGAGGUAUCCCGCGUAGUGUGUGCGUGGCGUGAGUUCCUUGCGGUCGAUGACGCCUAUGAUCCGGAACCAACACACUGAAAUGAGCUCCGACACCCUGGAGAAGCUGCGCCGAUAUGAAUUAUCAAGUUAAUUCGGGAUGUUAAACCUCUUUUAUGUUUGUUGUAUGCAGAGAAUUGUUUUUUGAGGGGGCAAAAGUGCAUAAAUGGUGUGACAUAAUACUACCUUGAA